GAGGAAUAUUGGACAAUGGGUGCAAGCCUGAUCCAGCCAUCCCGCGUGAAGGAAUAAGGACCUAUGGUUUGUAAACUUCUUUUGUACAGGGAUAAACCUAGAUACGAGUAUCUAGCUGAAGGUACUGUACGAAUAAGCACCGGCUAACUCCGUGCCAGCAGCCGCGGUAAUACGGAGGGUGCAAGCGUUAUCCGGAUUUAUUGGGUUUAAAGGGUCCGUAGGCGGACUGGUAAGUCAGCGGUGAAAUCUCAUAGCUUAACUAUGAAAUUGCCGUUGAUACUGUCAGUCUUGAGUGUAGUUGAAGUAGCUGGAAUGAGUAGUGUAGCGGUGAAAUGCAUAGAUAUUACUUAGAACACCAAUUGCGAAGGCAGGUUACCAAGAUAUAACUGACGCUGAGGGACGAAAGCGUGGGUAGCGAAC
rnacentral:rRNA from 1 species